AGACUCUUCGGAGUCUAGCGGCGGACGGGUGAGUAACACGUGGGCAACCUGCCUGUAAGACUGGGAUAACACCGGGAAACCGGUGCUAAUACCGGAUAAUCCUUUUCCUCUCAUGAGGAAAAGCUGAAAGACGGUUUCGGCUGUCACUUACAGAUGGGCCCGCGGCGCAGUACCUAGUUGGUGAGGUAACGGCUCACCAAGGCGACGAUGCGUAGCCGACCUGAGAGGGUGAUCGGCCACACUGGGACUGAGACACGGCCCAAACUCCUACGGGAGGCAGCAGUAGGGAAUCUUCCACAAUGGACGAAAGUCUGAUGGAGCAACGCCGCGUGAGCGAUGAAGGCCUUCGGGUCGUAAAGCUCUGUUGUUAGGGAAGAACAAGUACCGGAGUAACUGCCGGUACCUUGACGGUACCUAACCAGAAAGCCACGGCUAACUACGUGCCAGCAGCCGCGGUAAUACGUAGGUGGCAAGCGUUGUCCGGAAUUAUUGGGCGUAAAGCGCGCGCAGGCGGUCCUUUAAGUCUGAUGUGAAAGCCCACGGCUCAACCGUGGAGGGUCAUUGGAAACUGGGGGACUUGAGUGCAGAAUA
rnacentral:rRNA from 1 species